AAAAUUUAAAGUGGAACUAAAGUAAAAUAGGAAAACCAUUAACUUUUAUUGAAAGUAUAUUUAUACUACAGUUUUUGAAAUGCACACUUUCGAGGUAAUUUGGAUCACACGGAUCAAGACCACUCUAGCCUACUCUCGUACUAAAGUCGAAUACAAGACCUUAGUACCUCUCCCAUUAACCUUUAGUACUUUCACUCGAUUACAAGCUUAUAAAACCCACUCUUAUGCUAAGAAUACAAUUCAUGUGACAACCCUAAUACAUAGGUCGACCAUGAAUAUUAUAUACCCAAUAGCCAAUCGGCUAAUCCUA
rnacentral:lncRNA from 1 species